AAGCUUUUGAUAAAGUAUGGCACAAUAAGCUCACAUACAAGAUACGAUUCUAAAACUGAGUGGACAUUAGCAGGUAAUAGACAACGUAUCUUGUAUGUGAGCUUAUUGUGCCAUACUUUAUCAAAAGCUU
rnacentral:pre_miRNA from 12 species